rnacentral:rRNA from 1 species
CCCAUAGGCCAGAGAACGCCAGCCGGUGGAUAACUCGGCUCGGGGGCCGAAGAAGGGCGUGGCAAGCUGCGAUAAGCCCCGGGUAGCCGCAAGCAGGCGUUGAUCCGGGGAUUCCCUAAUGGGAUUCCAUGCCGCCGAGCUGCCUCGCGCGGCCGGCGGCGCUCCCGGGACUAGAGCCUGGGAGCGGGAACCGCCCGAACGGAAGCAUCCAAGUAGGGCGAGGAAAAGAAACCAAAAUGGGAUUCCCCUAGUAAGGGCGACUGAACGGGGAGCAGCCCAAACCGAACCCCUAUGGGAAACCAUGGGGGAAUGUGGGGUUAUCGGGGCCGGGCGUCCUCCCCUGCCAGCUGAGCCGAAGCGGCCUGGAAUGGCCCGCCAUAGAGGGUGAAAGCCCCGUAGGCGAAGGCUGGCGAGGAGAUGGCCCCGGAACCCAGAGUACCGCACCUCGGAUAUGGUGCGGGAAGUCGGGAGCCAAUCGGCUUCCAAGGCUAAAUACCCCCCGAGACCGAUAGUGCAGCAGUACCGUGAGGGAAAGUUGAAAAGUACCCCGGGAGGGGGGUGAAAAGCGCUUGAAACCGGCUGGUAACAGACGUGGGCGGCCCGGAAGGCACUCCCCGCAAACACUCCGCGUAGGGGUGGAGGCGGGGACACGCCAGGGUCGCCCGAUCCGUCUUGAAACACGGGCCGGGGAGUUCACGGUCGUGGCGAGCUUAAGGGCUCACCAAAGCCCGUAGGCGCGGGGAAACCAACAUGCCCGCAGCAGGCACGAGCCUGCGAGGGGCGGGGUCUGAAAGGGCCCGUAGUCACGGCCGUGAGGCUAGAAACCGGGCGAUCUAGCCCUGGGCAGGGUGAAGCCGGGCGAAAGCCCGGUGGAGGCCCGAACGGGUCCUGACGUGCAAGGGCGGCCUCCCAGAACUCAUAUAUUCCCAGGAAUUAAGUAGCAUCCAAAGACUUGGAUAGGAUAAAGCUAGGAUGUCUAUUGAUAAUGGUGCUAACCGACGGCGGAGUAAACAACGAUGAAGUAUAUUUCGCAACCACAGAUGAUGUGUUGGCAAGGUAUUUCACUAACCUCUCAGAAAGGCUGUGGAACAAAACGCCAAAGAAAAUAGUUUACAAACGGAACAAAUACUCGUGGAUGAAACUGAGAUUAAGAGACAGGUAAAUAUCAGAAUUAAUUAAGAAUCUAACAAAUAAUAAAACGAGAAUCCCUGACUUUAUCAUGAACGAGGACAACGCAGAGGUCUUGGGAGAGUAUCUAAGAAUUGUCGCCAGCACGGACGGUGGAGUAGCCGUAGUCAGCAGUUUCAAGAUAGAUAGACUUCAGAUGGAGGGGCUUACCCCAGGCCUAAGGUCUUCCAGGAGCUUAUGAGGGCUUCAAUGAGCUCAUGAGGAGCCCUAGGCUGAUGAAUCCCAAGACCUACGCAUGCCCAUGAAAGACUACGCAGGUCAGAACCCCAAGAGGGAAAGGCUAUACUAAAAACAAUGUUUUGAAACUUAUGUUAGAAAGUUACUCUGGGUUGGCCGCCCCACGAAAUUCGGUCCGUUGACCUGGGGCUAGGGGCUAAAAACCAAUCUAGCCCGGUGAUAGCUAGUUCCUCCCGAAGUGUCUCGCAGGACAGCCCUGGGGGAGGCGGCCCACGGGGUAGAGCACCGAUGGGGGAGUAAGGGCUCGAAAGGGCCCGCUCUCCUUUCGAACUCCGAAUCCGUGGGCGCCGUAGAUCCCAGGAGUGGGGUGUGCGGGGUAAGCUCGCACGCCGAGAGGGGAACAACCCGGACCUGGGGUUAAGGCCCCUAAGUGCCCGCUAAGUGACAAACCAAAGGGAGUCUCCAGCCAGAGACAGCGGGGAUGUGGGAACAGAAGCUGCCAUCAUCUAAGGAGUGCGUAACAGCUCACCCGCCGAGGUUGGGGGCCCCGAAAAUUGACGGGUCUAAGCGGGCCGCCGAAACCCCGGUCCACCCAUCGCAGCGGUGGGUGGAGGUAGGGAGGCGCGGCGGUUGGGUAGAAGCGGGGCCGUGAGGUCCCGUGGACCGGCCGCCGAUGUAGAUCCCGGCGGUAGUAACAGCGAAGAGGGGUGGGAAUCCCCUCCGCCGAAGGGGCAAGGGUCUCCCGGCGAUGCGUCGUCAGCCGGGAGUAAGCCGGUCCUAAGGCCGACCUUAACCGGGUAGGCCGAAAGGGAAGCCGGUUAAGAUUCCGGCGCCUCGGGGGUACGAUCGCGGCGACGCAAGCUCCGCGCCCGACGCCUCGGGGUAGGCUGAGCCAAGCCGUAGCUUGGUCCAAGCGUAUAAGCCUGGGGAGUGGCGUAAAGCCGAGAACCAGGCGAAAGCGCGAUUGGGCCGCCCGUAUGGGCGGUUCAGCCAAUCCCUGGGGCCCGUGAAAAGGGAGCGGAGAAGGAUCCCCGAGACCGUGCCCAGAACCGACACAGGUGCCCCUGGGUGAGAAGCCCAAGGCGUCUGGGGUCACACCAGGCGAGGGAACUCGGCAAACUGGCCCAGUACCUUCGGUAGAAGGGGUGCCUGCGGUCUUGGCCCCUGAUGGCUGGGACCGCAGGUCGCAGUGACCAGGGGGUCCCGACUGUUUAAUAAAAACAUAGGUAGCCGCGAGACCGAAAGGUUGUGUACGGCUACUGAAUCCUGGCCAGUGCGGGUACCUGAACCCCGGAUUCAACCGGGUUAAGGGCCCGUAAACGCCGGGAGUAACUCUGACUCUCUUAACGGGGACCUCCCCGCCCAUAAUCUAUUAUUAUGCUGUCUGUCCGGAGACUGUGAUGACUGACAGUUGCUUUGACCGAGGCUAUGUGAGUGGAAUCAUCGACGCAGAAGCAAGUUUUUCGGUAAGUGUAAAAAUUCAGAACGACUUAAGAUGCAAAAUAAGGCUUGGCCCGGUGUUGAGUAUAACGCAACGAAACGAAGAGGUUCUGUAUAUUGUUAAGGAAGUCCUUGGAUGCGGCAGAAUAUUCGCUAAACCUGCACAAAAGCACCUUUGGAUACUUGUAAUAGAUUAACUAACUGAACUAAAAGAAAAAUUAAUUCCAACAAUUGGCGAGUUUAGACUCAUUGUAAAGAAGAGACAGUAUCAGAUUUUCCGCAAAGUAGUCCUUGAACUUGCUGAAAAGAAAUACUCACUAAACAUAUAAUGAUGUUAAGGAGCUUGUGUUAAUGGCUUACGAACUUUCAGAAUUAAAUACUAAAUCUCACCGUAAGAGAACGCUUGAGAAUGUUCUCUCCUUAAUCCCUUAAGCUUAAAGGGCGGGUAAGGCCCCGGGAGAAAGGUAGCCAAAUGCCUUGUCGGGUAAGUUCCGACGUGCAUGAAUGGAUCAACGAGGGCCCCGCUGUCCCCGCCUGGUGCCCCGUGAACCCACGUAACGUGGACGAACAGUCCACGGUCCCCCAGCGGGGAGAGAAGACCCUGUGGAGCUUUACUGCAGCCUGGCGCUGGGGUGCGGCUGGAGGUGCAGAGCGUAGCCGGGAGCCGUCGAUCCCAGCCUCUCCGAGGGCUGGGGGAGGCGCCGAUGUAACACCGGCCACCUCUGGUUGCACUUCUGACCGGGGCCUUGUCCCUGGGACAACGCUAGGUGGGCAGUUUGGCUGGGGCGGCACCCCCUUGAAAAGAUAUCGAGGGGGCCCAAAGGUCGGCUUAGACGGGACGGAAAUCCGUCGUGAAGUGCAAGGGCAAAAGCCGGCCUGACUGGACCCUUGAACGCAAGGGGUCCAGAGGGGAAACCCGGGCCUAGCGAUCCAUCGGCUCCUACCGAUGGGGGCCGGUGGUGACAGAAAAGUUACCCCAGGGAUAACAGGCUCGUCGCGGGCGAGAGUCCCCAUCGACCCCGCGGCUUGGUACCUCGAUGUCGGCUCUUCCCAACCUGGCCGUGCAGCAGCGGCCAAGGGUGCGGCUGUUCGCCGAUUAAAGGGGAACGUGAGCUGGGUUUAGACCGUCGUGAGACAGAUCGGAUUCUACCUGCUGGGGGUGCUGGGGGCCUGGAGGGGAAGGUGUUCCCAGUACGAGAGGAACGGAGCGCCGGGGCCAACGGUGUACCGGUUGUCCUACAGGGCAGCGCCGGGCAGCCGCGCCCCCGCGGAUAAGGGCUGAAAGCAUCUAAGCCCGAAGCCGCUCCCGAAACGAGGCCCCCAACUGCCGGCUAAGGGCCUGGCAACAGGCCUAUGCUGGCGGCGAGGGCACCCGUAGAAGACGGGUUUGAUGGGGUGGGGGUGUAAGGGCGAAGGCUUCGGCCGACGUCCUCAGCCCGCCACUCCCAAAAGCCCGAGUGGCCUAUGGG